AACGUAGGAGACAAACGUUAUCCGGAGUUACUGGGCGUAAAGGGCGUGUAGGUGGUUUCGUAAGUCUGGCGUGAAAUUUUUCGGCUUAACCGGGAAAGGUCGUCGGAUACUGCGGAGCUAGAGGACGGUAGAGGCGUGUGGAAUUCCGGGUGUAGUGGUGAAAUGCGUAGAGAUCCGGAGGAACACCAGUGGCGAAGGCGACACGCUGGGCCGAUACUGACGCUGAGGAGCGAAAGCGUGGGGAGCGAACAGG
rnacentral:rRNA from 1 species